CACUCUAAGGAGACUGCCGGUGACAAACCGGAGGAAGGUGGGGAUGACGUCAAGUCAUCAUGGCCCUUACGGCCUGGGCUACACACGUGCUACAAUGGCCGAUACAAAGGGCAGCGACACUGCGAGGUGAAGCCAAUCCCGUAAAAUCGGUCUCAGUCCGGAUUGGAGUCUGCAACUCGACUCCAUGAAGUUGGAAUCGCUAGUAAUCGUGGAUCAGCAUGCCACGGUGAAUACGUUCCCGGGCCUU
rnacentral:rRNA from 1 species